rnacentral:rRNA from 1 species
AACGAACGCUGGCGGCAGGCCUAACACAUGCAAGUCGAGCGGACCCUUCGGGGUUAGCGGCGGACGGGUGAGUAACGCGUGGGAACGUGCCCUUUGCUUCGGAAUAGCCCUGGGAAACUGGGAGUAAUACCGGAUAUGCCCUUUUGGGGAAAGAUUUAUCGGCGAAGGAUCGGCCCGCGUUGGAUUAGGUAGUUGGUGGGGUAAUGGCCUACCAAGCCGACGAUCCAUAGCUGGUUUGAGAGGAUGAUCAGCCACACUGGGACUGAGACACGGCCCAGACUCCUACGGGAGGCAGCAGUGGGGAAUCUUAGACAAUGGGGGAAACCCUGAUCUAGCCAUGCCGCGUGAGCGAUGAAGGCCUUAGGGUUGUAAAGCUCUUUCACCGGGGAAGAUAAUGACGGUACCCGGAGAAGAAGCCCCGGCUAACUCCGUG